CCCUAGAUGUUCUGGGCCGCACGCGCGCUACACUGAUGCAUUCAACGAGCCUAUCCUUGACCGACAGGUCCGGGUAAUCUUUGAAUCUGCAUCGUGACGGGGAUAGAUUAUUGCAAUUAUUAAUCUUCAACGAGGAAUGCCUAGUAGGCGCAAGUCAUCAGCUUGCGUCGAUUACGUCCCUGCCCUUUGUACACACCGCCCGUCGCUCCUACCGAUUGGGUGUGCUGGUGAAAUGUUCGGAUCGGCCGUUUGUCGCGGUUUCCGCGUCAUGUGGCUGAGAAGUUCAUUAAACCCUCCCACCUAGAGGAAGGAGAAGUCGUAACA
rnacentral:rRNA from 1 species